AUUGAACGCUGGCGGCAUGCCUUACACAUGCAAGUCGAACGGUAGAGUAGCAAUACUUGAGAGUGGCGAACGGGUGAGUAAUAUAUCGGAACGUGCCCAGUCGUGGGGGAUAACGUAGAGAAAUUUACGCUAAUACCGCAUACGAUCUAAGGAUGAAAGCGGGGGAUUCGCAAGAACCUCGCGCGAUUGGAGCGGCUGAUAUCAGAUUAGGUUGUUGGUGAGGUAAAAGCUCACCAAGCCGACGAUCUGUAGCUGGUUUGAGAGAACGACCAGCCACACUGGGACUGAGACACGGUCCAGACUCCUACGGGAGGCAGCAGUGGGGAAUAUUGGACAAUGGGCGAAAGCCUGAUCCAGCAAUGCCGCGUGAGUGAAGAAGGCCUU
rnacentral:rRNA from 1 species